UUAACACAUGCAAGUCGAACGAUGAACCUGGAGCUUGCUCCGGGGGAUUAGUGGCGAACGGGUGAGUAACACGUGAGUAACCUGCCCUUGACUCUGGGAUAACCUCCGGAAACGGAAGCUAAUACCGGAUACGACGUGCGGAGGCAUCUCCUGCACGUGGAAAGAACUUCGGUCAAGGAUGGACUCGCGGCCUAUCAGGUAGUUGGUGAGGUAACGGCUCACCAAGCCUACGACGGGUAGCCGGCCUGAGAGGGUGACCGGCCACACUGGGACUGAGACACGGCCCAGACUCCUACGGGAGGCAGCAGUGGGGAAUAUUGCACAAUGGGCGCAAGCCUGAUGCAGCAACGCCGCGUGAGGGAUGACGGCCUUCGGGUUGUAAACCUCUUUUAGUAGGGAAGAAGCGAAAGUGACGGUACCUGCAGAAAAAGCACCGGCUAACUACGUGCCAGCAGCCGCGGUAAUACGUAGGGUGCGAGCGUUGUCCGGAAUUAUUGGGCGUAAAGAGCUCGUAGGCGGUCUGUCGCGUCUGCUGUGAAAACCCGAGGCUCAACCUCGGGCCUGCAGUGGGUACGGGCAGACUAGAGUGCGGUAGGGGAGAAUGGAAUUCCUGGUGUAGCGGUGGAAUGCGCAGAUAUCAGGAGGAACACCGAUGGCGAAGGCAGUUCUCUGGGCCGUAACUGACGCUGAGGAGCGAAAGCGUGGGGAGCGAACAGGAUUAGAUACCCUGGUAGUCCACGCCGUAAACGUUGGGCGCUAGAUGUGGGGACCAUUCCACGGUUUCCGUGUCGCAGCUAACGCAUUAAGCGCCCCGCCUGGGGAGUACGGCCGCAAGGCUAAAACUCAAAGGAAUUGACGGGGGCCCGCACAAGCGGCGGAGCAUGCGGAUUAAUUCGAUGCAACGCGAAGAACCUUACCAAGGCUUGACAUACACGAGAACGGGCCAGAAAUGGUCAACUCUUUGGACACUCGUGAACAGGUGGUGCAUGGUUGUCGUCAGCUCGUGUCGUGAGAUGUUGGGUUAAGUCCCGCAACGAGCGCAACCCUCGUUCUAUGUUGCCAGCGCGUAAUGGCGGGAACUCAUAGGAGACUGCCGGGGUCAACUCGGAGGAAGGUGGGGAUGACGUCAAAUCAUCAU
rnacentral:rRNA from 1 species